UACGGAGGGUGCAAGCGUUAUCCGGAUUUACUGGGUUUAAAGGGUGCGUAGGUGGGUUGGUAAGUCAGUGGUGAAAUCUUCGAGCUUAACUCGGAAACUGCCAUUGAUACUAUUAAUCUUGAAUUAUCUGGAGUUAAGCGGAAUAUGUCAUGUAGCGGUGAAAUGCUUAGAUAUGACAUAGAACACCCAUUGCGAAGGCAGCUUACUACGGAUACAUUGACACUGAGGCACGAAAGCGUGGGGAUCAAACAGG
rnacentral:rRNA from 1 species